rnacentral:rRNA from 1 species
UAGCAGAACGCCAGAGAC